rnacentral:lncRNA from 13 species
CCUCUAUUUAAAAAAUUUUUUUGCAUCAACUUUGGACAAGAAUUUUUCAAGAAAAAUAUUUUAAAAUUUAAAUUAAAAAAAUUUUGAAAUCUCUGCUCUCAGAAGCACACAAACAUUUUUAAUGUGCUUAUUAUUUCACUUCUGUGGAAAAAUAUGAUAGGAAAAUUGAAUAAAAGAAAUUUAGAUUAACUUUUUUGGGGGGACCAUUUCAUUUUUGUACACAUAUUUGCUUAAAAUCAAUGAAUGUCUAGGCCAGGUUCAGGUAACUGAAGGGCCUUUGUAAGUGGUUUAUAUUUUCUAUACACAAUGUUUACUGCAAACACAGUCUGGAGCAAAAUGGGAAAUAACAUAUUUCUGGAGAUGGGCACAGAAAUUCUAAUCCAGUAAAUUGUUUCUUUCCCAGGUAGCAAGGCUGCUAGGCCACAAUUCAUGGGCAUAGCCUAGAAAACAGGGUACAGACCACCCAAAACAAGGCCAGCCAAUCCAUGCCGUGUGAUGGUCAGGCUUCAAAAUUCAAAUCACCUGUCUGCAAAGGUGGACAGUCUCAGACUGCAAAGCAAGUCAGCACUAGGGCAGAAGGAAUCCCAAACGCGCUGAGAACAGAACAGCCGCGCUCUCGCUGACUGGAUCCCGAGUGACAUCUACUGGAGCAAGCAGGCACUGCACGUGCGCGGGCGGCCGUUCCGUCAUUCCCGUUAUUCCAACACAAUCGAAUUUAUGUAGAAAUUUACGUGCAUCAGUUCUAUGGGCUAUUUAUGAUUAUAUGCACAUGUAGAAAGAGGAAAAUAUGCUUGUAAAUGAGAAACAUAACUUCAAGAUAGUAGUUACAUCUGGGUUGGGUAGGGGUGAAGGAGGGGUAAAGGUUUUAGUUUUAUCUGUAGCAAAUUUUUUUCAUUAAUUUAUUUGUAGAGGUGGGGUUUCACUAUAUCGCCCAGGCUAGUACUGGUUUCAAGCAAUUCUCCCACCUUGGCUUCCCAAAGUGCUGGGAUUACAGGCGUGAGCCACCGUGCCUGGCCACAAUUUGUCUUUUAUUUCAAAAGAUCCGAUACCAGUGUGCCAAAGUAUUGACAUUUAUUAAAUCUUUCAGGGUAGUCAUACUGAGGUCUGUUUUUC